rnacentral:rRNA from 1 species
UACGUAGGGGGCAAGCGUUGUCCGGAUUUAUUGGGCGUAAAGAGCGUGUAGGCGGCCUGAAAGGUCAGCUGUGAAAACUCGAGGCUCAACCUCGAGACGUCGGUUGAAACCAUCUGGCUAGAGUCCGGAAGAGGAGUGUGGAAUUCCCGGUGUAGCGGUGAAAUGCGCAGAUAUCGGGAAGAACACCCGUGGCGAAGGCGGCACUCUGGGACGGUACUGACGCUGAGAAGCGAAAGCAUGGGGAGCAAACAGG